rnacentral:lncRNA from 1 species
AGCUAGUUUUACCAAACGUUAUUUUUUAUCGGCUAGUUUUUCAGCUAUUAACUAGCUUUUAAGUUAGUACGCUAAACAUUAACUCAAAUAUAGCUUUAUAAAUUAUAACCUUUUUUAUCUAUUGUGGGCUUUGCUAGUUUUUGCUUUUAUAAUAUAAUAUAAUCUGCCGUUAAAAAAGAAAAAAUGUAUUGACGGCUCGGUGAUUCCAUUUUUCUAUUUUUCCGUAGAAACAGCUUAGGAGCAUUCCAUUUUUCCCUAUAAAACGACAUAUCAACGCUUUCCAAUCGAUAACACUUGCCGACUAGCGAUUUCCUGCCCACAGAAAUCAAUGUCUUCAGUUGGAUUGAGUUAUGCUCACAUAAACCUGCAACAGCAGCGUCUCAAGAAGAAAAUGAAGAACUUAACACUAGAUUUUCCGCCGGCGACACCUACCGCCGACUAUACCAAUCACAAAAAGAAGUUGCCGGACCGGAAAGUUCAUCCCACCGUAAAGCUUUCUUCUCUAGUCGUUUCCCAUCAGUCAGUUUCUUGACGUUGUGGUUAAAAGUAUGAAGGGAAUAGCAGGCGACCAUUGGAAUCUUUUUUUUUAUUUAUUUUUAUUUUUUUUCUUUAACCUUUUUAGUUUCUGGUAUGCAAACAAACGGUUAACUGAAGUCAACGGAUUUGUAAUUUUAUAAUUUGUUGUGUUGCUUCUUGUAUUGCAAAUACUUAGAUACGUUUGAUAUAAAUAGACUUUUGGAAACAGUCUCUAUACGUCGAGCAUUAUUUUAUGAUUUAAUUAUUACUAAAUCACUGUAUUUACUAAAAUAUGAUAAAAAAAAAAUAUUUCUAUUGUUUUUAUAAUACAACCCAUGUGAUAAAACUAUGGAUAUUAUGGUUUCGGAUUUGAUCCACAAUCUAUAAGAUACGUACAAGUGCGUUGAAAAUGAAAAGUGUUGGGCAUCGUGAUGAAUGGACCCUACUAACAUGGUGUUGUAGUGUCGACUCAUGCCUUGUGGAGCCUUCGGUUUGUGUAUGAUUUUGUUGUCGUUAUUAAUUUGUAUCAUAGUUAAUGUUAAUUUUGACAAAUAAACUUUUAUUGAUAAUGUGAUAAUGGAUUUUGAUUUGUGAUGAUUUAGUUUAGAAUUGUAGACAUUUUUUUGAGUUUUGAGUUUAUAAUUUUUGAUAAAAAGUUUGAAGAAAAAAAUUAAUUUGGUGGUAAAAGUUUUUAGCUUAUACGUUAAACAAAAACUUCAAAUUCAAAAGGUUAUUUCAAAUAACAAAUUGACUAAUAUACCAUUUUGUUUUUCAUUUUUUUGCUUCAAAUCAACACUUCAUCUUUCUUUUGCACGAUUGAAUAUAAGUAGAUUUUAAUUAUUAUGAUAUAAUUUUUUGAAAUAAAAUAUAUCUUUUACAAUUAACUAUAAAUAUAGUUUAAUAAUUAUGAUGUAUUUAUUUCAAACAAUCAUCUUAACAAUUUUCCAUCUAACAAAUAAAUGAAUAUUUAUUGUUUGAGACGGAACCAUGUAAAUAUGAUGUUUCGUGUUCUUUUGAUGUUGUUUGUUUUACACUUUACUUUUUAACAAGUGGUAUAUGAACUUAGCAUGACAUCACAUACGUUCUAAUUCUGAACAAUUAUAAUCUGAUUACCUAAUGGAUACUAACCACCCAAACCACAAUGACGAUUUGUUUAUAUUACUUCAACAAGUUUGAGUAUUUCAUGUUGCACGGAGAUGAAUACAUGAUCUCAAAGUUGAUAAACUACAUUAAAAUAAUAUAAUUUCAUAUAUAACAAGACAUAAUUGAAUCUUGAGUUAUAUAAUAUAUCAUCUAUAACCUAAGUAGACUUUUUCUGAUUUGUUAGAGGCAUAAAGUUUCCAGGCCACAUGACAUCCCUAAUUAAGCCAUCUUUUGGAAAAAAUCACAUCUGGUAUGGCUUGGUAUUUUAAGGUAUCCUUCAAUUGUGGGUGUCUCUUUGGUUUGCUACAAUUAUGGUUUAACUUUCGACGUUAAUGGAAGCUUUUGAUCUUCUUAUAUAUGUAAUUUUUGACCUUGCAUAUGUCUUUACUAAUUCCAACUAUUAGUCUUGACAAGUUGUAUGGGGUUCUGUUUUUUGUGCAUGUUUUCUGGAGUCUUGAGAUGUUUAAAUUUUCAUUUCAGUAUUAUUAUAUUGUUCAUACUUCAUAACCUCCCUCCUCUUGAUGCUAAUACAAUUAACUUUUUCUCUAGUUGUUGCUAAAAAAAUUAAAGAUAAUAUAUUGUUG